CAGAUAUUAGGAACUUUCCAUCAAAGUUCUCACUAUUCCUUCUUCUCCAGAUGUCCUUAACGAUAAAAUUGAGGUAAUUAGGCACAGCUGGGCUGCUGGUGGUAGGUGUGGCUCCUGUAUAUAAAGAGAGACAGGCCCUCUGCAGGGAGGUUUGGAGUCCUUUGGGAAGAGUCAUCUCUCAAUUCUACUUGAUUAAGAUAGCAGCCAGCAACAAUCCUUGAAAGACAGGCACUGGAGUGCUGUGUGUCAGUGUCCCCUUUGCUAGCUGUAGUUAUGCAGCUUCCCUGGCCAGAAACAGGGCUGUAUCAAAGGAAAGCUUGUGGCUUACCCUUCUUCCAUGGAGCAGCAAAACCUGAGCCCAGGGACCAGCUGCUCCAUGGACAGCAACUUGGAUGAGUUGGCCAACUCCAUUUAGCCAAAUCCAAGCCAACAAGCAGGACGAUCCCUCCUUCCCACCAGCAGAUCCAAGGCUUGUCUGGCCUCAGGCCUAAAAUCAGCAAAGCAGCAAUCAUCGUGCUUGGGUGAACGAGAAAUUAAACUGAAGAAAACAGUGUCAGCAUUUUUCCUAAAGUUGUACCACUGAACCAGCCCCCAGAUCCCUUCCUGGCGAUAUUUCUCUUUUGUGCUCCUGCUUGUUGCUUGUUCCCCACUAUGAUCUUGACAGACAAUCGACAAGCAAGGGGCUGUUUUCCGAAGGUUUAAGCAAAUGCUGCGAAAUACCCUCUUCAUGCAAUUAGAUACAUUCAUGCUAACACAGCAUUAUGAUUCACACGCUCACUGAAAAGGCUGAUAGCUCCGCAGCAUGUUAGGAGACGGCAGCACUUCGCACCAGCCUGGAAUACACAUGCUCAUGAUUAGCAGGGAGAGGAGAGAGUGGUAAUACAAAUUACUUGCGUGGGUUAUUUCUCGCUGCCGUUAGCAAGGGAAGUUUUUCGAGCCGAGAUGUUUUUUUUGUCACAGUGCACUAAGUCUUUCCCAUUAGGUGAGCCAGCGCGCAAGUGAUAUUGCUGAAUGUAAUUUAAAUUGCUUGGUUUUAGUGUCUGCAUCAGAAGAUUUUAAUCCAUUAUUAGAAGAGUUUUGUAAGACUUCCACAAUGCUGAUGUGUCUGGCUGAUAUUUUUAUUAUUAUGAAAUCCCUGGAACUUGACAUUUAUAGGCACGGCGAGGCAGUAAGAAUAUAAAAUAUAAAGAAAAUUAUUUUCUUGGGCUGGAAAACACUGAAUGUUGGAGAAAAGGCUAACAAAAUGAAACAAAACUGUCUCACUCUUCAAGUAUCUAGAGGAAUUGUAAGAAUGUUUACUCCUUUAUUGUCUUUUUUCCUUCACCCCCUAUAAAAAUUGUUUCCCCUCCAACCCUUUAAUGAGAUGUUUUCAGCAGCGCUCGCCUGUCCCAAACUG
rnacentral:lncRNA from 1 species